rnacentral:rRNA from 1 species
UGGGGAAUAUUGCGCAAUGGGGGAAACCCUGACGCAGCGACGCCGCGUGAGCGAUGAAGGCCUUAGGGUUGUAAAGCUCUGUUUUAGGGGACGAAUGUCCAUGUGAGUAAUAUGCGCGUGGAAUGACGGUACCCUAAGAGGAAGCCCCGGCUAACUACGUGCCAGCAGCCGCGGUAAGACGUAGGGGGCGAGCGUUGUCCGGAAUUACUGGGCGUAAAGAGCACGUAGGCGGGAACUUAAGUCAGAUGUGAAAGACCGGGGCUCAACUCCGGGAUUGCAUUUGAAACUGGGGUUCUUGAGGGCAGGAGAGGAAAGCAGAAUUCCUGGUGUAGCGGUGAAAUGCGUAGAAAUCAGGAGGAAUACCAGUGGCGAAGGCGGCUUUCUGGACUGACCCUGACGCUGAGGGACGAAAGCGUGGGUAGCAAACA